rnacentral:lncRNA from 1 species
CAGGGGUUGAGUGGCCUGGCUCUGAGAAAGGGAGUCAGGGUAAGUCUGGCCUAUCAGGGCCUAGCCUGAGGCUGGCCUGCUCUGUUGUGGCCAGGCCCGGGGCUGGGCAGGAGGCUGGGGCUCUCCUUCUUGCCUCCCUCUAAUGACACCCGGUCCAGGAGCACCCCUCCACCACCCCCACCCGAAGAGGCACAGCCCCUGCCAAGCCAGUCCCUCCACACGGAUCCUCUGUGGACUUUGACUCAUCUAUGGAGGGACCCCAGGGUAGGGCAGCCCCUUGUCCCUCCCCCCACUCCACUUAGGUCUGGAGCCCCACUGCCAGGCUGGGCCCCCCCAGCCAAGGGGCUGCCCAGGCCCCCAGAAAACACUUGGAGCCAUUGGGCAGCGAUGGCCCAUGCCGUGGGACUCCCCCACUGGCGCAGCCUCGCUGCCCCCAUUCUUACCCACCCCUCUUCCUCACAUUGUCCUGUUCAUGGGCUUCCAGGGCUCCACAGUCCCCAGGAAGACCACUG